rnacentral:rRNA from 1 species
UACGUAGGGUGCGAGCGUUAAUCGGAAUUACUGGGCGUAAAGGGCGCGUAGGCGGCCUUCUAAGUCAGACGUGAAAUCCCCCGGCUUAACCUGGGAACUGCGUCUGAUACUGGAAGGCUUGAGUGCGGGAGAGGGAUGUGGAAUUCCAGGUGUAGCGGUGAAAUGCGUAGAUAUCUGGAGGAACACCGGUGGCGAAGGCGGCAUCCUGGACCGACACUGACGCUGAGGCGCGAAAGCUAGGGUAGCAAACGGG